UGCCAGCAGCCGCGGUAAUACGGAGGGGGUUAGCGUUGUUCGGAAUUACUGGGCGUAAAGCGCACGUAGGCGGACUGGAAAGUUGGGGGUGAAAUCCCAGGGCUCAACCCCGGAACUGCCUCUAAUACUGGUAGCCUAGAGUUCGAGAGAGGUGAGUGGAAUUCCGAGUGUAGAGGUGAAAUUCGUAGAUAUUCGGAGGAACACCAGUGGCGAAGGCGGCUCACUGGCUCGGUACUGACGCUGAGGCGCGAAGGCGUGGGUAGCGAACGGGAUUAGAUA
rnacentral:rRNA from 1 species